rnacentral:lncRNA from 1 species
AUAGGAUGAAGCUUUCUCUGAAGCGAUCAGAUGUUGGUGGUUUCCAGGUGAGCUAUCCCUGACUAUAACCAGAGCCCCCAGCAUGGAGGCAAGAGCCUGAAGGGGGCUCAUUCUCCCCUGCCCCCCAACACGGGACAUGGGGCUGCACCCAAGCCCCACACUGACACUAUGGAUGCCUCCUGCCUCAGCCUGGGAGAGGAUGCACAGCCAGCGGCCGCUGCCCCUCUCAUCCCUACACAUCCGCCCUGCCAGCGUGGCCAGAAAAAGCUGCUGGUCUCUGGCAAAGCAUGUGCCCAUCCCAGCUCCUCAUCUCUGCUUAUUUUCCUCAUUAUCCUUCAGUGCCUGGGUACCCACUCUCUUGGAGGCUAAAGCUCUUUUCCUUCCCCCUCUCUCAACUCCACAGGUGAGAACAAUGCAGUCCAUAAUGAACAUCUUUGCUUCNNNNNNNNNNNNNNGGGAGCCUCUCGGUGCUGUGACACGCAGCCAGCAGUGAACGCAAUGGAAAAAAAUGAGCACGACGCACAUCCUAAUGCUUUCCAGACCCUCUCCCCCACUCCCUGCUUCUCACAACUCCCCAGCACAUGGGGCCAGAGCGGGGCUGGUGGCUGCCAGGGGCGUGGGGGGGUGGCACGUCCCAACAUGCAGCCCCCAGCCCUUCUGUGGAGCUUGGGAGGAAUUUCCUCUGCCUGCCCCUGGAGCGGUGCGGGCAAAGAAAGGGUUGGGAGGAGGAGAUGGCCGCGUGCUUUGCACAGCCCGUGCUCUCUCUUGGUCCCAUUGGUUCUCAUCCCAAUGUGGCCACGUGUGUUGUCUUUUCCAGACAGGUUAGGUCAAGGUUUCCCUCUGCCGCUGCUGGACAGAAUACAGCUCUCCGAUAUCCUCGUGCAGUUUCACCAGAAUCUACUGCUGCUCGGAGCAAACAUUCACUAUCAGCCCCGGGUAUAGAGAUAAGGUGACAAGAAGGACCUGGAACACCAAUGAUGCCCCCUUUGCCUCUUCCCUUCACCGGGCCCCACUCCUGGAGCUGAAAAUCACCAGUUCUGCUGCAGUGUCCCUCGCUGCCCGCAUUGCCCUGGACCACAGCCAGGGACAGAAGCCUCCCCAGGCCCCCAACCCUGUGUCCCACCUGGGCCUCACCCAGUGCUACUGAGAGCUGGGGGUCUCUGGCCCCCCAACCCCACCCUGUCCCCCUCCCCUCCAUCCUCUGGUUUGUCAGAGGCAGCUGGUGGCAAUAAAGGUGGCCAGUCAUGGCUGUGUUGGUGCUGU